rnacentral:lncRNA from 10 species
AGCUUGGGAGGGUGGAGAUGAGCAGGGACGAAAAGCUGAGGCGCUCCCGCUACUGGGGUGUUCCCAGGACAAGCUGAUGGAUGGGCAUGCUCAUCCUUCUCUACGACAGGCACAGAAAAUGUGAGCAGAGUGCCCACCGGCUUUCCUUUGGAGGUGGCAGGGGUGAAACGCCCUGCCCGGAUUUCUCUGAUGUGUUUGGCAACAGCGUAAGAGCCGUGUAAUCCUCCCUCCAGCCCAGCCUCAGCACAGCGUGUCCCUGCGGAUGCCAAAGGUCACCAGACGCAUGCAGGAUAGGUUGAGCUCUGAGCCAGGGCUGGACACAAAACCUCUGGUGACAGCACUGGGGUGACAUCACCAGGACAGGUAAACAGACCACAGGCGUCACAGGGCAUGAAGACUGGAGGUAAGGCUCAUCAGAGGUCAUCUCAGAAGCUGGCCACAACAGGGGAAGAGUCCAGAAACAACGCAGGGUGCCCAGCAAAGGUGUUCACUGCUGUUGGCACUGGCAGCUUGACCCCACCAAGGAUUGUAUGAAGCACUACGUAGAAUGCAUAGGAUGGAGGUCAGAGACUCAUCUACAGACUCACUUUCCCAUCGGUUCAAGAUUGCCCCUAAGAACAUCAGCUCCCUCACAAACCCAGCCUGUACCUGCAGGGGCUGAGCAAGCCCAGAGGCAGAAGAGCAGAGGACAGCACAGGCAGGGUGGAGGCAGUGCCGCAGCACAGCACUGCUGGGCCAGGAGGGCUGGGGGGAUGCGCCGUGGUGCACAAAGCCUCUGCCUUGUGGCAAUGCUGUGGUGAGCGUUCACGCACAGGGCCCUGCAUCCAGGAGCCCACAUUUCUCUAGGAGGCAUGGGCUAGGGCCCCUCCUGGCAUUCACACCCUUGUGCAAUCUCUCACCUUGUGUGUAGGCCAAACCUAGGGACUUGAUUCAAAUGAACUGAAUACCACAAAAGCCAUGGGAUGUCUUCUCUUUUUUUUUUUUUUUUUUUUUGAGACGGUCUCACUCUGUUGCUUAGGCCGGGUGUGCAGUGUGCAAUCUCAGCUCACUGCAGCCUCAACCUCCCAGGAUCAAGUGAUCCUCUUGCCUUAACCUUCUGAGUAGCUGGGACUAUAGGCGUGUGCACCCACACCCCCCUAAUUUUUUUCAUUUUUUUUUUUUUGGUAGAGAUGGGGUCUGGCUAAGUUGCCCAGGCUGAUCUCAAACUCUUGGCCUUAAGAAUCUUCUGGCCUCAGCUUCCAAACGGGCUGGAAUUAUAGGCUUGAGCCACUGCCCUGGGCUGGGAUGUCAUUUCUGAGGUUAGUUCACAAGUGAUUGUGACUCCCCUCUCAACUGGACUCCCCCCACCCAGCACCGCCUUACUUACUCUGGCAAAGCCACUGCCGUGUUGUAAGCUGCCCUCUGGAGAGACCCACUUGGCAAAGGACUGAGGGAGGCCUCUGGCCCCCUGCCUGGGAGGAGCUGAGUCCUACUGACAACCGCCUGAAUGAGCUCAGGAGCAGCUCUGCCCUCAGCUGAGCCAUCAGAUGAGACGGGCCCAGAUUCUUGAUCCACAGGAACUGGUAUUUUGCUAAACUACUAAGAUGCUAAAAGUUGGGGUACUUUUUAAACUAAAUAACACAGGAAGGGUGGAAGUGGGAGAAGGUGCACAUGACGCAAGAUUGCCCGUGGGUUGACAAUUGUUGCAACUGGG